UGCGUAGGCGGCGUGCCAAGUCAGGUGUGAAAUCCCUCGGCUCAACCGGGGAACUGCACUUGAAACUGGCAUGCUAGAAUCUUGGAGAGGGUGGCGGAAUUCCAGGUGUAGGAGUGAAAUCCGCAGAUAUCUGGAGGAACACCAGUGGCGAAGGCGGCCACCUGGACGAUGAUUGACGCUGAGGUACGAAAGCGUGGGUAGCAAACA
rnacentral:rRNA from 1 species